GACAGUGCUACUGCAGGGUUCUCACCCGCUCCCAAGCCGGAAUCCCCCAAAGAAGGUAAAGGAAGCAAGUCUUCCCCACUCUCUGUAAAGAAUGCCAAACGGAAAAUGGAAGGCCCAAAGAAAGCCAAGGGCGACAGCCCUGUAAAUGGCUUGCUAAAAGGGCAGGAGAGUCGAAGUCAAAGCAGGAGUCGUGAGCAGAGCUACUCAAGGUCCCCAUCACGGUCUGCUUCUCCAAAGAGAAGGAAAAGUGAUAGUGGCUCUACCUCAGGGGGGUCCAAGUCACAGAGUCGUUCUCGGAGCCGCAGUGACUCUCCUCCAAGGCAAGUACACCGUGGUGCUCCCUACAAAGGCUCAGAAGUGAGGGGCUCCCGGAAAUCCAAGGACUGCAAGCACCUCACCCAGAAGCCACACAAGUCUCGUAGCCGGAGCUCCUCCCGUUCCCGCAGCCGGUCACGAGAACGGACAGACAGUUCUGGAAAAUACAAGAAGAAAAGUCAUUACUAUAGAGAUCAAAGACGGGAGCGCUCAAGGUCAUAUGAGCGCACAGGCCAUCGAUAUGAGAGGGACCACCCUGGACACAGCAGGCAUCGGAGGUGAGAUAGGUAGCUGGAUGGAACAGCAAAGGCACACGCCUCCACUGGCGUGGCUUGGUGCUAUUGACAAGCUGUCUCUUCACUCCUAAACUGAUACUCAAUUACGUUAAGCCAAGAAAGAUGAUUUUUCAAAUCUUUGCCUAUAUUAGGUUGUACUUGUGUACAUAUUUUGCAGUGGUUCACAAUGAGAAAAUGGCCUUAAUAGCCCCCUUGUUCUCUAUUCACGUUGUAAAUAAACAUGUUUAAUACAAGUGAAAGCU
rnacentral:lncRNA from 1 species